AGAGGUCUCAAGCGUUGUUCGGAUUCAUUGGGCGUAAAGGGUGCGUAGGCGGCGCGGUAAGUCGGGUGUGAAAUCUCGGGGCUUAACUCCGAAACUGCAUUCGAUACUGCCGUGCUUGAGGACUGGAGAGGAGACUGGAAUUUACGGUGUAGCGGUGAAAUGCGUAGAUAUCGUAAGGAAGACCAGUGGCGAAGGCGGGUCUCUGGACAGUUCCUGACGCUGAGGCACGAAGGUCAGGGGAGCAAACGGGAUUAGAUACCCCGGUAGUCCUGACAGUAAACGGUGCACGUUUGGUGUGGGAGGAUUCGACCCCUUCUGCGCCGGAGCUAACGCGUUAAACGUGCCGCCUGGGGAGUACGGUCGCAAGAUUA
rnacentral:rRNA from 1 species